rnacentral:rRNA from 1 species
UACGGAGGGUGCGAGCGUUGUCCGGAAUCACUGGGCGUAAAGGGCGCGUAGGGGGCCUGUGGAAGUCUGCGGUGAAAGCCCGGCGCUCAACGCCGGGUCGGCCGUGGAUACUCUCGGGCUUGAGCUUACUAGAGGCAGAUGGAAUUCCGGGUGUAGCGGUGGAAUGCGUAGAGAUCCGGAAGAACACCGGUGGCGAAGGCGGUCUGCUGGGGUAAUGCUGACACUGAUGCGCGACAGCGUGGGGAGCAAACAGG